CGCGGGAUGGAGCAGUUCGGUAGCUCGUCGGGCCCAUAACCCGAAGGUCGUAGGUUCAAAUCCUACUCCCGCAA
rnacentral:tRNA from 10 species